rnacentral:rRNA from 1 species
AAGCCUGAUCCAGCCAUACCGCGUGGGUGAAGAAGGCCUUCGGGUUGUAAAGCCCUUUUGUUGGGAAAGAAAUCCAGCUGGCUAAUACCCGGUUGGGAUGACGGUACCCAAAGAAUAAGCACCGGCUAACUCCGUGCCAGCAGCCGCGGUAAUACGGAGGGUGCAAGCGUUACUCGGAAUCACUGGGCGUAAAGAGCACGUAGGCGGCCUUGCAAGUCAGAUGUGAAAUCCAACGGCUUAACCGUUGAACUGCAUUUGAAACUGCAAGGCUAGAGUAUGGGAGAGGUAGGUGGAAUUCUCGGUGUAGGGGUAAAAUCCGUAGAGAUCGAGAGGAAUACUCAUUGCGAAGGCGACCUGCUGGAACAUUACUGACGCUGAGGUGCGAAAGCGUGGGGAGCAAACA